ensembl:lncRNA
GUUAUAAUUGUACAUGGCUUAGAAGUUAAGAGUAAAUACUGCUUUCUUAAUUAUGAUUUUUGAGUAAAUGUUUUUUUCCGAGCUCCGCAUGUGGACGUCAUGACGUCAUGACGUCUUCUCUCUAACCUGAACGACGUUGACAGAAAAUUCUGUUCAAUAUGGCUGCCCUUCUCGAGCGACUGGAGAACACAUUUGGAGAAACUUGCUGAAGGCCAAAGACAAAAAGACAGAAGAAAAAAAAAUUCAGACUGCAAUUAAUUUCAGGUGGAGACAGUAAACACAGGAGGCGCCUGAUAUCAACGUGAAACGCACUGCAGUACUUCGUGCCCUUCCUGUAUACCUGCGGGAGGAGGACCCAGAAUUCUUUUAGACAUGUAAUGCGGACGCAUUGGAUGAGUCGACCCUCAUUGACACUCCAGUUGCCCUUCUCACAGUGGUUACCGACGGCGCUUCCCAGUCCAGUCCAUUUUACUUCCUCAAGCAUGGCUGUUUUGGUGAAAGGUGACUAGGUGAUGCGUGAUAUUCCCAGAUUUGCAAAUGCAUUUGCUUUAUUGUUUGGCUUGAUCUAUGCUCUGCAUUUAGACUACCCCAGGAAGCUGGUUCACACAUUUGCCUUAGUCCAAAAUAUCUUCAUGGGGCUUGAUGACGGCAAACCCCUGAAACCCCUGCCUACAUGCUCUUAAGGAAUAUAAGGCAAUGUUUGUUAGGACACGCACUCUGUUACUGAGCACUUUGUUUGAAGCACUUUAAGCACUUUAAGUUUACUACAGGCUUUGGGUGGAUUUAACUCCAUCAGUUUACCUAAUUUUCCUAUACUUGACUGCCUUAUCUGGUUAUUUGGAAGCUGAUCAUCUUUGUACCC